rnacentral:rRNA from 1 species
GAUGAACGCUGGCGGCGUGCCUAAUACAUGCAAGUCGAGCGAACGGACGAGAAGCUUGCUUCUCUGAUGUUAGCGGCGGACGGGUGAGUAACACGUGGAUAACCUACCUAUAAGACUGGGAUAACUUCGGGAAACCGGAGCUAAUACCGGAUAAUAUUUUGAACCGCAUGGUUCAAAAGUGAAAGACGGUCUUGCUGUCACUUAUAGAUGGAUCCGCGCUGCAUUAGCUAGUUGGUAAGGUAACGGCUUACCAAGGCAACGAUGCAUAGCCGACCUGAGAGGGUGAUCGGCCACACUGGAACUGAGACACGGUCCAGACUCCUACGGGAGGCAGCAGUAGGGAAUCUUCCGCAAUGGGCGAAAGCCUGACGGAGCAACGCCGCGUGAGUGAUGAAGGUCUUCGGAUCGUAAAACUCUGUUAUUAGGGAAGAACAUAUGUGUAAGUAACUGUGCACAUCUUGACGGUACCUAAUCAGAAAGCCACGGCUAACUACGUGCCAGCAGCCGCGGUAAUACGUAGGUGGCAAGCGUUAUCCGGAAUUAUUGGGCGUAAAGCGCGCGUAGGCGGGUUUUUAAGUCUGAUGUGAAAGCCCACGGCUCAACCGUGGAGGGUCAUUGGAAACUGGAAAACUUGAGUGCAGAAGAGGAAAGUGGAAUUCCAUGUGUAGCGGUGAAAUGCGCAGAGAUAUGGAGGAACACCAGUGGCGAAGGCGACUUUCUGGUCUGUAACUGACGCUGAUGUGCGAAAGCGUGGGGAUCAAACAGGAUUAGAUACCCUGGUAGUCCACGCCGUAAACGAUGAGUGCUAAGUGUUAGGGGGUUUCCGCCCCUUAGUGCUGCAGCUAACGCAUUAAGCACUCCGCCUGGGGAGUACGACCGCAAGGUUGAAACUCAAAGGAAUUGACGGGGACCCGCACAAGCGGUGGAGCAUGUGGUUUAAUUCGAAGCAACGCGAAGAACCUUACCAAAUCUUGACAUCCUUUGACAACUCUAGAGAUAGAGCUUUCCCCUUCGGGGGACAAAGUGACAGGUGGUGCAUGGUUGUCGUCAGCUCGUGUCGUGAGAUGUUGGGUUAAGUCCCGCAACGAGCGCAACCCUUAAGCUUAGUUGCCAUCAUUAAGUUGGGCACUCUAAGUUGACUGCCGGUGACAAACCGGAGGAAGGUGGGGAUGACGUCAAAUCAUCAUGCCCCUUAUGAUUUGGGCUACACACGUGCUACAAUGGACAAUACAAAGGGCAGCGAAACCGCGAGGUCAAGCAAAUCCCAUAAAGUUGUUCUCAGUUCGGAUUGUAGUCUGCAACUCGACUACAUGAAGCUGGAAUCGCUAGUAAUCGUAGAUCAGCAUGCUACGGUGAAUACGUUCCCGGGUCU